ensembl:lncRNA ZNF37BP zinc finger protein 37B, pseudogene
GCGCAUGUGCGCGGUGUGGCUCCAGGUCGCAGCUUCAUGGCCUGAUGCCUUCAGGAAGUAUUUUGAAGUCAUCGUGGCUGUGGAUUGGGGGAUUUCUUGUUUCCACUGACCUGUGAGGCCGCGCACGUGGAGGGAGGCACCCCGGGUCCUCCGGCACUGUCCGGCCUCGCCUGUGUCCCUAGUAGCAGUGGGCAUUUCCAGACGGUGCAGCUUGUGGCUAAAGUGACAGGAAGAUGUAGGAGCUUUCAGUCUUGGAUGAGGAUUCGAACUGAAGGGCUUAGGCCCAGCUGUCUUGGAGCAAAACAUCUGUUGUGGGAUGUGGCGGCAGAGGAGGGCAAGGCCGAAGGAGCAGACAGCACCGCUUCUUGGGGAGUUGUGAAGGCAUCAUGCGGAGGGCCGAGCUUAGCAGCCAAGUGGAGGACAGCACCCUCCAUGCCUGGAUUCGUUACUCGCUCGUUCUCGAUGUUGAGCUGCUGGCAUAUUGCAGCACAACUAGAGAUGUACGGAUGCCCCCAUCUUGAUCUUACAGAAUCAGAGGUGCAGCCGCAAGAAAGCUACACCCUCUCGGUUUUCUCUGCUCUGCCAACACUAGUGGAAUAUGAUCACAUCCCAGGGAUCAGUGUCAUUUAGGGAUGUGACUAUGGGCUUCACUCAAGAGGAGUGGCAUCAUCUGGACCCUGCUCAGAGGACCCUGUAGAGGAAUGUGAUGCUGGAGAACUACAGCCACCUUGUCUCAGUAGGGUAUUGCAUUCCUAAACCAGAAGUGAUCCUCAAAUUGGAGACAGGCAAGGAGCCAUGGAUAUUAGAGGAAAAAUUUCGAAGCCAGAGUCAUCUGGGUGAGUUAGUGCCAGAUGGAAUUUAAAGAAUUAAUUAAUACCAGUAGAAACUAUUCAAGAAUGAAGUUCAAUGAGUUUAACAAAGGUGGAAAAUGUUUCUGUGAUGAAAGCAUGAAAUAAUUCAUUUUGAAGAGGAACCUUCUGAAUAUAAUAACAAUGGGAACAGCUUCUGGCUGAAUGAAGACCUCAUUUGGCAUCAGAAGAUUAAAAAUUGGGAGCAACCUUUUGAAUACAAUGAAUGUGGGAAAGCUUUCCCUGAGAAUUCACUCUUCCUUGUACAUAAGAGAGCUUACACAGGACAGAAAACAUGCAAAUAUACUGAACAUGGGAAAACCUGUUAUAUGUCAUUUUUUAUUACUCAUCAGCAAACACAUCCAAGAGAGAACCACUAUGAAUGUAAUGAAUGUGGAGAAAGUAUCUUUGAGGAAUCCAUUCUCUUUGAACAUCAGAAUGUUUACCCAUUCAGCCAGAAUUUAAAUCCCACUCUAAUUCAGAGAACCCACUCAAUUAGCAAUAUUAUUGAAUAUAAUGAAUGUGGAACCUUUUUCAGUGAAAAAUUAGCCCUUCAUUUACAACAGAGAACACAUCCAGGGGAAAAACCUUAUGAAUGUCAUGAAUGUGGAAAAACCUUCACCCAGAAGUCAGCCCACACAAGACAUCAGAGAACACACACAGGGAAAACCCUAUGAAUGUCACGGAUGUGGGAAGACCUUCUAUAAGAAUUCAGACCUCAUUAGAAAUCAAAGAAUUCACACAGGGGAGAGACCUUACAGAUGUCAUGAAUGGAGAAAUCCUUCAGUGAAAAGUCAUCCCUUACUCAAAAUCAGAGAACACACGUGGGGAGAAAUCAUGAAUGUCAUGAAUGUGGGAAAACCUCGUUUAAGUCAGUUCUAACUGUGCAUCAGAAAACACACAGGGGAGAAGCCCUAUGAAUGCUAUGCAUGUGGCAACACCUUUCUCAGAAAAUCCGACCUCAUUAAACAUCAGAGAAUUCACACAGGAGAAAAACCUUAUGAAUGUAAUGAAUGUGGGAAGUCAUUCUCCGAGAAGUCAACCCUUACUAAACAUCUAAGAACACACAGAUGGGAAAUCUUAUGCAUGUAUUCAAUGUGGAAAAUUUUUCUGCUGCUACUACAGUUUCACAGAACAUCUGAGAAGACACACAGGGGAGAAACCUUUUGGAUGUAAUGAAUGUGGGAAAACCUUCCAUCAGAAGUUGGCCCUAAUUGUUCACCAGAGAACUCAUAUAAGACAGAAACCCUAUGGAUGUAAUGAAUGUGGAAAAUCAUUCUGUGUGAAGUCAAAACUCAUUGCACAUCAUAGAACAUACACAGGGGAGAAACCCUAUGAAUGUAA